UGUCUGGCCUUUCUAGACUUUUGAGAGUACUCAAAUGAUACUUUAAAAGAUUGUGUACCCUUAUCACUUUCUUUUGUGAAAUUCCUAGUGUUCCAGUGAGGGAACAUGAAGGCAAUCUGAACCGUUGGUUGUUAACGAGUAGAAAAUCAUCAUUAUAGGCGUUGGUGCGACCGUGCUUCAAACCAUACUCAUUUGAUCAUGUGGAAAGAAC
rnacentral:lncRNA from 1 species